rnacentral:rRNA from 1 species
UACAGAGGUCUCAAGCGUUGUUCGGAUUCAUUGGGCGUAAAGGGUGUGUAGGUGGCGCGCUAAGUCGGGUGUGAAAUUUCGGAGCUUAACUCCGAAACUGCAUUCGAUACUGGCGUGCUUGAGGACUGGAGAGGAGACUGGAAUUCAUGGUGUAGCAGUGAAAUGCGUAGAGAUCGUAAGGAAGACCAGUGGCGAAGGCGAGUCUCUGGACAGUUACUGACACUGAGGCACGAAGGCCAGGGGAGCAAACGGG